UACGUAGGGUCCGAGCGUUGUCCGGAAUUACUGGGCGUAAAGAGCUCGUAGGUGGUUUGUCGCGUUGUCCGUGAAAACUCACAGCUUAACUGUGGGCGUGCGGGCGAUACGGGCAGACUGGAGUACUGCAGGGGAGACUGGAAUUCCUGGUGUAGCGGUGGAAUGCGCAGAUAUCAGGAGGAACACCGGUGGCGAAGGCAGAUCUCUGGGCCGUAACUGACGCUGAGGAGCGAAAGCAUGGGGAGCGAACAGG
rnacentral:rRNA from 1 species